UGCGUAACGCGUAUGUAACCUACCCUAUACUGGGGGAUAGCCCGGAGAAAUCUGGAUUAAUACCCCAUGGCACCUAAAAGUGGCAUCAUGUUUAGGUUAAAGAUUUAUUGGUAUAGGAUGGGCAUGCGUCUGAUUAGCUAGUUGGGGGGGUAACGGCCCACCAAGGCGACGAUCAGUAGGGGUUCUGAGAGGAAGGUCCCCCACACUGGCACUGAGAUACGGGCCAGACUCCUACGGGAGGCAGCAGUAGGGAAUAUUGGGCAAUGGUCGGAAGACUGACCCAGCCAUGCCGCGUGCAGGAAGGAGGCCCUCUGGGUUGUAAACUGCUUUUAUCUGGGAAGAAAAAGGCCAUGCGUGGCAAAUUGCCGGUACCAGAUGAAUAAGCACCGGCUAACUCCGUGCCAGCAGCCGCGGUAAUACGGAGGGUGCGAGCGUUGUCCGGAUUUAUUGGGUUUAAAGGGUGCGUAGGCGGCUUAAUAAGUCAGCGGUGAAAGACCACGGCUCAACCGUGGCAGUGCCGUUGAUACUGUUUAGCUUGAGUGUCGGGUGGGUACAUGGAAUUGAUGGUGUAGCGGCGAAAUGCAUAGAUACCAUCAGGAACACCGAUAGCGAAGGCAUUGUACUGGCCGACAACUGACGCUGAUGCACGAAAGUGUGGGGAUCGAACAGGAUUAGAUACCCUGGUAGUCCACACCGU
rnacentral:rRNA from 1 species